rnacentral:rRNA from 1 species
GUGCCAGCCGCCGCGGUCAUACAGAGGGUGCAAGCGUUAAUCGGAAUUACUGGGCGUAAAGCGCGCGUAGGUGGCUAAGUAAGAUGGGUGUGAAAUCCCCGGGCUCAACCUGGGAACUGCAUCCAUAACUGCUUAGCUAGAGUACGGUAGAGGGUAGUGGAAUUUCCUGUGUAGCGGUGAAAUGCGUAGAUAUAGGAAGGAACACCAGUGGCGAAGGCGACUACCUGGACUGAUACUGACACUGAGGUGCGAAAGCGUGGGGAGCAAACAGGAUUAGAUACCCGAGUAGUCC